rnacentral:rRNA from 1 species
UGUAGUCAUAUGCUUGUCUCAAAGAUUAAGCCAUGCAUGUCUAAGUAUAAAUAAAUUUAUAUUGUGAAACUGCGAAUGGCUCAUUAAAUCAGUUAUGAUCUACGUGACAUAUUCUUUACUACUUGGAUAACCGUGGUAAUUCUAGAGCUAAUACAUGCAAAAAAACCCAGACUUACGAAUGGGUGCACUUAUUAGAUAAAGCCAACGCUGGGUAAAACCAGUUUCCCUUGGUGAUUCAUAAUAAUUAAGCGGAUCGCAUGGCCUUGUGCUAGCGACAGUCCACUCGAUUUUCUGCCCUAUCAUGGUUGAGAUUGUAAGAUAGAGGCGUACAAUGCCUACAACGGGUAACGGGGA